rnacentral:rRNA from 1 species
UACGGAGGGGGCUAGCGUUGUUCGGAAAUACUGGGCGUAAAGCGCACGUAGGCGGCGCAGCAAGUCAGGGGUGAAAUCCCGGGGCUCAACCCCGGAACUGCCUCUGAAACUGCAGUGCUAGAAUCUUGGAGAGGCGAGUGGAAUUCCGAGUGUAGAGGUGAAAUUCGUAGAUAUUCGGAAGAACACUAGUGGCGAAGGCGACUCGCUGGACAAGUAUUGACGCUGAGGUGCGAAAGCGUGGGGAGCAAACAGGG